GGAGAGAUGUCCGAGCGGUUUAAGGAGCACGCCUGGAAAGCGUGUGUAGGGGCAACUCUACCAGGGGUUCGAAUCCCCUUUUCUCCGCCA
rnacentral:tRNA from 1 species